CGUAUUUUUCCAUAGGCCUUGGGAAGAAGGGUCCCAGGUGCGUGAAGAAAGAUAGACUGUUUGCGGGUUCCAAGCAUGGUGGGGCAGGGAGAAUUAUGGUCUCCGAGCCUCUGAGAGUUUGGUGUGGGUCUCUCCAGCAAAUAGUAACAAAAUGUUCCCUUCUUUUUAGGUUAUUUGGGUUGGUUUUUUUUUUUUUUAACCAACAGCAUAUAUUAAUGAAAAAACUAUUAAAAUCCUAUUUUAAUGUAGAAUCAAGACUCCUGCCUAUUUUUCAUAUAACCACACUUCAAGCUGUGGUCAAGAGCUCUCUUUCUCUGUGUCCUGUUAUAAUCACACUCCCAUGUUUUCUCCUAUAGAUCAUGCUUCUCCCUCGAGCCAAUAGCUUCAAGAGAGCAUGCUUUAAAGUACAAACAUUGGAGCAGAGUUCUGAGUGUGAAUUGUGUAGCUUUUUUAUUAGAGAAACUAAUAAUAAGAAUUAUUAAUACUCUUUAAGCAACGACCUACACAAUGACCCUGCAUCUUCCUUAGCGAUUUGUACAUAAUAAGCUAUAAAUGUCUGCUCCUCAACACACUCUUAGGAGGGAAUUAAUAAAUUAAUAAAUUUUAAUAAUACCUAAAAUUUCUAAUGGGUGUAGUUAGUAUAUUAAAGGCUGUCAAGCCUCAAAGAUCCCUACUCCUUUAUGUCUCUGAACACACUCUGAUAUAAUACAAGGAUCGGUUCCUAAGAUUUUAAGUCUCCAAUGGAGUAUCUGGGUGGAAAAUCGUGUUUAAUAAUUAAAGUCUACGGAUGUAGAAAUGGCUCUGAGGUUAACCUCACUUGUUGCUUGUGUAGAGGACCCAGAUUCAAUUACCAGCACCCACGUGGUGGCUCACAAGCAUCUGUGAUUCCAGCUCCAGGGAAUCUAGUGCGCUAUUCCAGAAGUCUCAGGCACUGGUCAUGAAAAUGGUGCACAUACACACAUGUACACAAAACACUCACUUGUAUGAAAUAAACAUUUUAAAGGUUUAAUAUUGAAAUAGAGGACAAGAAUAAUAGUAUUUCACAUUAUACCUGAAAUUGCAGAGUUUUAAAAUAUAUUUCUUAAAGAUUGUAUGACAAACACUUAAUGCAUACAUGCGUUCAUUUGAACUCAGACAACUUAGGUGAGCACGUUUUUGUCAGGCCGUAGGCUGUGCAUUAGAAAUGGAUAAAUAUUAUUUGUUCUUCUUUUAAGGCAUGUUCCUUUUAUUUUCCAUUGGGCAGAGAAACAGUGAGCAGUGUGUGACACACGAGACGGUGUCCUGUAGGUGUGAGCAGUGUGUGACACACUAGACGGUGUCCUGUAGGUGUGAGUCAGCAGUGUGUGACACACAGAGACAGCGUCCUGUAGGUGUGAGCAGUGUGUGACACACAGAGACAGCAUCCUGUAGGUGUGAGCAGUGCGUGACACACGAGACAGAGUCCUGUAGAUGUGAGUGAGCAGUGUGUGACACACAGAGACGGCGUCCUGUAGGUGUGAGCAGUGUGUGACACACAGAGACGGCGUCCUGUAGGUGUGAGCAGUGUGUGACACACAGAGACGGCGUCCUGCAGAUGUGAGUGAGGGUAUUGGUGGAGGUCAGAUGAGAGCUGACGACGUGAACUGACACCGUGAUCUGUGGAAGUUUUAAAUAAAGAGAUGACACCCAGGAGAAAUAUUUCGCUUUCCUAAAUGUCACAAUACAAUCCAACUACACAGUGUGACAGGGAGUAGGACCCAGUGGCUCGGAGGCUGUGAGAGGAACAGGAACACGUUUGCAGGAAGGUUCUGGGCAGAACUGGGAAGCUUUGGGCAGAGUGGGAUGGGGGUAAAGGUGAAGUUUGCUUUUCCUUCCCAAAGAGUCAGGUUUCUGUUCUCAUGAGUGAAACUGACAAAUGGUUUUAAACAUGGAGGGACGGUUGGGGAUAUUUUUCAGAAAAUCGUCGGGACUGAAAUUCCUUUAACGUGGACCCACUCCCCGCUCUUUGUUUUCUUAGUUAAAAUUAUUAACAGUUUGCCAUUUUUUAGCAUUUCAAAUUUUAAGACACAAAGGGGAAGUGAAGUCAGAGACAUCAUGCAAUAAAGGUCUUUUAUUUAAAAGUAUCGAAAUGACUUGGUCACUUGGUCGGCUUGUUGGGGUAAAGGCAGACUGUAAGGCUUAGUUCUUACACGGUAGACAGUAAGUGGUCACCAGCUGUAUACAACUUAUUGAAGGCUUUAGGGCAUGGCAUAAAUUUCCCACAGAACAGGACGGGUUCAAAAGGAGGCCCUUAUAAGAUCAGUUCGAGACAGGGGCAGGCAGAAGAGCAGCCACAGAUUAGGGCCGAAGCAAUGACGUGACAUGAGUCUCUGGAAAGUGAUCCGCUGGCAGUGUUGUGGGCUACACGGAGGGCGUGCAGAACGUGGGCCAGGGAAACGUGUGUUAUCACGUCAGAGUUGGGAAGCCAGGGUGCAUCGAGUUAUCAGAUGAUGGGUGAGUUAUCAGAGGCGGCAGAGGGUGGCUCCUCAUUGCUAAAGGAUGGAAGAGAGGCUGAGUCAGGCUUUGGCCCUGGCAGAAGCAGGUGCAAAGGAACUUCGAGCCCUUAUGCUCGUAUUUGAGCUAAAAAGGCCAGCUGCGCCCUAGCUCUGCAGACACUAACCAGAGCAGGGAAGAACAUCAGAACAUCGGCAACCUGGGGGCUGCUGGUCCUGAGCUAAGAGCAGCAGAGACCUGGUCUCUUCCCACAAAGGAGCAGCUAGGAGUGGAACGGGAAGUGAGGCAGCUUUCCAAGGCUGGAAAGGGGGAACUAGGUCGGAAAUAAGAUGGCUACCGUUUCAGAAAAUAAGGCUGCACUUGGUAGGUGGAGGAGCUUCCGGUGCUCUGGAGUUCUGUCAGGAAAUAGAGUUGACAAUGAAUCUGACAGCUUCAAAACACAUAGUAGGGAUGAUGUGGAAUAUUCCCAGCAUUGAAUCACAUACAUGUCUGAGGUGACACCUACGCCAGAUAUCACAGUGUGUAUCCUUUGAACUUCCACAGUAUGCUCCAGAAAUAUGUACACUUAUUAUAUGGCCAUAAGGUUUUUGAAAAGAAGAGAAAUUCCUCUCUACAUCUUCCACAGAGAAUGAGAUGAGUCAGCAGCCCUAGCCUGGCAGAGGCGUCCUGGUCUUAGGUGUUAGACGCAGGACUAAAGGGUGGUAUUUACUCAGCAGCCACAGUUCUUACGAGGACCUUCGGACAACAUCAGUUUUCCCAAAGACCACUGCAGGAAUGGCCAGCGCAAAGGGCACCGGGAAAGGCAACUUUUGGCAUAUUUCCCAGUUCCUCCAGUACCUCAGCAAACAGGGAAAAGGGGUCGACGGAAAUCAUAUCUCACAGGCCUGCUUUUAGGAUGCGCUCACCUUGCUGAUUUGCAACAUGAGUUUCUUUUGCUGUGGAAACCAACAGUCGUGCUGGUCUGUGCUUUGGGGUUAAGCCCUUAUGUGUAAGGUGACCCUCUGCUGGCCUGGCGUAUGACGUCUGCAGACAGACAGCUGGCUGUGCUUCUGUGAAAAAUAAUACUAAAACAUGAUACAGAGGGACAGAUACUUCACCAUGAGAGUGUAAAUGGCUGGAGGAGUAUCAUCUGAAGAGUCUCAGCAAGCUGGGAAAUAUGAAAAUGUGUUCUGCCAGUGUGAUGUGUAUGAUAUAGAGGUGUUAUCAGUUGGUACUGUGUUAUGUAUAAUAUAGAAGCGUUAUCACCAGUCGGUACUGUGAAACACCCGGGGCACCUCAGCAAUAUCACAGAGUGAAGCAUCCACUGUGGAGAAAGGAUAUGUAUUUCUGUGUCUGCUAUAGACUUUUUUUUUUUUACAUUUGCGUUAAUCUUCUGAACAUUUUAAUUCAAGUCCUCGUGCCACUGACAAAACAUGGAAACGUAAUUUAAAAUGAGACCAGAGCUAGUUGAUCUCUGGGAGAAUCCGCAUGUCUCCCUGAUCUGAGUUUAGACUGGGCUUCUACAGAUUGUUAGCAGUUACGUACACUUCAGGCCUGCUGAGGUGGUAGGUAAAAGACGGCUUAAAAUGGGCGGGAUUCUGCACACCACGGCCGACUCGGUAAUGAAAACAAGGAUGAUGGGCUGUAAGUGUGUAAAUGUUUUGCGGAGUUUUUAUUUAUAGAAUACCAAACUGAACUCUAGUCUUUCU